UGGUCGUCAUUUAACCUAUGUGGAGCCUA
rnacentral:piRNA from 1 species